rnacentral:misc_RNA from 1 species
UAGGGAGACCUAAUCCAUUUAGAAAUCGAAAACAAUGAAAAUUGUCAAUAGAAACUAAAUUGGUCUAACCUAGGUCGUUCGAGAUUGGUAGACAUCUUUCAAAGUAUUAUUCGGCUUCGUUCAAAACCAUAUAUAAUAAAUGGAAAAAGACAGCACCUAAUUGUCAAAGUUAGACUGCUGGAUGAAGUUCCAGCCAGAACCUUGAAAACUGCGUAAGAGAACAAGAAAAAGCAGGCAGACACAGACAUUUAGAUGGAUGUGGAAGCAAAAGAAAUUGU